rnacentral:rRNA from 1 species
AUGGACGAAAGUCUGACCGAGCAACGCCGCGUGAGUGAAGAAGGUUUUCGGAUCGUAAAACUCUGUUGUUAGAGAAGAACAAGGACGUUAGUAACUGAACGUCCCCUGACGGUAUCUAACCAGAAAGCCACGGCUAACUACGUGCCAGCAGCCGCGGUAAUACGUAGGUGGCAAGCGUUGUCCGGAUUUAUUGGGCGUAAAGCGAGCGCAGGCGGUUUCUUAAGUCUGAUGUGAAAGCCCCCGGCUCAACCGGGGAGGGUCAUUGGAAACUGGGAGACUUGAGUGCAGAAGAGGAGAGUGGAAUUCCAUGUGUAGCGGUGAAAUGCGUAGAUAUAUGGAGGAACACCAGUGGCGAAGGCGGCUCUCUGGUCUGUAACUGACGCUGAGGCUCGAAAGCGUGGGGAGCAAACAGGAUUAGAUACCCUGGUAGUCCCAA